GGUCCGCUGGCUCAAUGGCAGAGCGUCUGACUACGACUUCUCUGAAGUAAUCAGAGGACAUCGAGUAAUCAGGAGGUUCCAGGUUCGACCCCUGGGUGGAUCG